rnacentral:rRNA from 1 species
AGAGUUUGAUCCUGGCUCAGGAUGAACGCUGGCGGCGUGCCUAACACAUGCAAGUCGAACGUGAGAGCUUAGCAAUAGGCUUGAAAGUGGCGAACGGGUGAGUAACACGUAGGUAACCUGCCGCGCAGAGGGGGAUAACCACUGGAAACGGUGGCUAAUACCGCAUGGUACUAUCGAGAUGGGAAUCUUGAUGGUUAAAACCUGGGUAAUACCAGAUGCUGCGCGAGGGGUCUGCGUCCGAUUAGUUAGUUGGUGAGGUAACGGCUCACCAAGACGAUGAUCGGUAGCUAGUCUGAGAGGAUGAUUAGCCACACGGGAACUGAGACACGGUCCCGACUCCUACGGGGGGCAGCAGUGAGGAAUAUUGCACAAUGGACGCAAGUCUGAUGCAGCAACGCCGCGUGGAGGAUGACGGUCUUUGGAUUGUAAACUCCUUUUCUCAGGGAAGAGAAUGGACGGUACCUGAGGAAUAAGUCACGGCUAACUACGUGCCAGCAGCCGCGGUAAUACGUAGGUGGCGAGCGUAUCCGGAAUUACUGGGCGUAAAGCGCACGCAGGCGGUUAGGCAAAGUUCGAUGUGAAAGCUCCCGGCUUAACCUGGGAGAGGUCGUUGAAAAACUGCCCUAGCUUUGAGGCAAUGAGAGGGGUGUAGAAUUCCCGGUUGUAUGGUGGAAUGCUGUAAAUUUCGGGGGGAAUACCAGUUGGGCGAAAGCGGGCACCCCUAGCGUUGUUUCUUGACGCUCAUGUGCCGAAAGCGUGGGGAGCGAACGGGGAUUUAGAUAACCCCCGGUAGUCCACACUGUAAACGAUGAACACUAGGUGUAGGGUGAUGUGAAAGUUAUCUGUACCGAACCAACGCGUUAAGUGUUCCGCCUGGGGAGUACGGCCGCAAAGGCUAAAACUCAAAGGAAUUGACCGGGGGGCCCGCACCAAAGCAGCGGAGCGUGUGGUUUAAUUUCGAUGCAACGCGAAGAACCUUUACCCAGGUUUGACAUGGACGUAGUAGUGAAGCGAAAGCGGAACGACCCCUUCGGGGAGCGUCCACAGGUGCUGCAUGGCUGUCGUCAGCUCGUGUCGUGAGAUGUUGGGUUAAGUCCCGCAACGAGCGCAACCCCUGUGCCUAGUUACAAGUGUCUAGGCAGACUGCCGACAUCAAGUUGGAGGAAGGUGGGGAUGAUGUCAAGUCAGCAUGGCCUUUAUAUCUGGGGCGACACACACGCUACAAUGGGCAGUACAAUGGGCAGCGAAAGGGCGACCUGGAGCGAAUCUCAUCAAAGCUGUUCGUAGUUCGGAUUGUAGGCUGCAACUCGCCUACAUGAAGCCGGAGUUGCUAGUAACCGCAGGUCAGCCAUACUGCGGUGAAUACGUUCCCGGGCCUUGUACACACCGCCCGUCACGUCAUGGGAGUUGGUAACACCUGAAGUCGGUGACCUAACCGCAAGGGAGGAGCUGCCUAGGGUGGGGCUGAUGACUGGGACGAAGUCGUACAAGGUAGCCGUACCGGAAGGUGUGGCUGGAUCACCUCCU